rnacentral:lncRNA from 1 species
UUGUUUCUUCUCUCAACUGUCACCAUCUCAUCAUCGUCGUUUCUUCUCUCGACUCUCACCAUCUCAACCAGAGACGAAAUCCCAAUCGCCUCACCAUCUCAUCUCUCGCCGCCUUAACGCCUCACCAUCUCAUCUCAUCGUCAUCACUCGUCAUCAUCAUUACUUUACAGGGCAAACCAGAGACGAGAUCCCAAUCAUCUCAUCUCAUCUCAUCACGGUCACAAUCAGAUCAGCAAGCAUACCAUUUUGUAAGUAGGUACAUUUGAAGAAUGUUCUUUGUUCUUAGCUAGCAGAAUAUGGUGAGAUCUUUUGCUUAUGGAUUUGUAUGCCUAGUAAUGAGAAAAUUGAAAGAACUCGAUAUGUGACGAUUCAAGCACUUUCUGGGUUUGUUAAAAUCGAUCUCUAGGUAUGUGGGUUGGUCGAAAUCGAUCGCUAGGGUUUGUGGGUUUGCUGAAAUCGAUCUCUAGGGUAUGUGGGUUUGUAGAAUUGAGAUUGUCUCUUGUUGUCUGAGAUUGUAUCUUGCUGUCUCAGAUUAUAGCUUGCUGUUUGGUAGACUGUAGGUUGUAUCUUGCUGUCUGAGACUGUAGCUUGCUGUCUGGUUUAAGUAUAUAUUUUUGGUGCUGUUGUGUCGUCCUGUAUCUAUGCGUUUAUGAGCUCAAAACCUUAAUGGCGUUAGGCGUUAGCUUGUUUGGUGUAUUGUUCAGUGAAGAUAAACCCAUUUGAAUGUUAUUAGGGCACUUGAUUUUUGAUUGAUUGUGUAGAUGUCUUCUAGCUUUUCCAUGUUGUGUCUUUAGCUAGCGAGUUUCCACUCUGAGAUCAGCUUAAUAAUAUACUCGUUACGUUGUGGGUUUCUUGCGUGUAUGAAUGUAUCAGUGUGUCACUCACUGGUCGAGUUUGACUGUUUUAGCUUCUAGCUAAUGAAUCAAGCAUCUUGUUGUUGGCUGUGAUAAACUGAUUAUGUUGUUGGCUUGUUGCAGAGCAACGAGUGUUUGAAGAGACUCAAGAGUCAAGAGACUUGGAGAACAACAAGUGUUGGCUGACUUGAGAGUUUGAGUAAAGUUCUAUUUAUUAAAGUAGCUACAAAGUUGUGGUCAAGAGUUAUACUUAUACUUUGCAUUUACAUUACAUGAAUGUUAAUUUGGUUUUUAAUUUCAGUGACAAAAAUGAAUAAAAGACACAUUUUGCAUUUACAUGAACAUGAUUAUACUUGCAGUUUUUAACAUUUAAAUUUAAGUUGAAUUUGAUAUGCAAAAAAUUAUUGACUUGUAAAAAAAUUAAAUGGGCUAACCCUGGUCUAACCCUAACCCUUAUAAAAAAAUAGGGUUAAAAUAGGGUUGGGUUAAAACAUGCCUCGGUGUAUAUUACACAAGGAAGGGCUUAACCCUAACCUUUUACACAACAUCCCUAGUUAUCUUACAG